rnacentral:rRNA from 1 species
GACGAACGCUGGCGGCGUGCUUAACACAUGCAAGUCGAACGGUGAAGGGAUCAGCAUGCUGGUUCUGGAUGAGUGGCGAACGGGUGAGUAACACGUGAGUAACCUGCCCCCUUCUUCUGGAUAACCGCAUGAAAGUGUGGCUAAUACGGGAUAUUCUGCGCCUGCUGCAUGGUGGGUGUGGGAAAGAUAUUGUUUCGGUGGGGGAUGGGCUCGCGGCCUAUCAGCUUGUUGGUGGGGUGAUGGCCUACCAAGGCGGUGACGGGUAGCCGGCCUGAGAGGGUGGACGGUCACACUGGGACUGAGACACGGCCCAGACGCCUACGGGAGGCAGCAGUGGGGAAUAUUGCACAAUGGGCGCAAGCCUGAUGCAGCGACGCCGCGUGAGGGAUGGAGGCCUUCGGGUUGUGAACCUCUUUCGCCAGUGAAGCAGGCCUGUCCCUUGUGGGUGGGUUGACGGUAGCUGGAUAAGAAGCGCCGGCUAACUACGUG